rnacentral:rRNA from 1 species
ACGCACGCUGGCGGCGUGCUUAACACAUGCAAGUCGAACGGAAAGGCCCUGCUUGCAGGGUACUCGAGUGGCGAACGGGUGAGUAACACGUGGGUGAUCUGUCCUGCACUUCGGGAUAAGCCUGGGAAACUGGGUCUAAUACCGGAUAGGAGCCAUUUUUAGUGUGAUGGUUGGAAAGUUUUUUCGGUGUAGGAUGAGCUCGCGGCCUAUCAGCUUGUUGGUGGGGUAAUGGCCUACUAAGGCGGCGACUGGUAGCCGGCCUGAGAGGGUGGACGGCCACAUUGGGACUGAGAUACGGCCCAGACUCCUACGGGAGGCAGCAGUGGGGAAUAUUGCACAAUGGGCGCAAGCCUGAUGCAGCGACGCCGCGUGGGGGAUGACGGCCUUCGGGUUGUAAACUCCUUUCGCUAGGGACGAAGCUUUUUGUGACGGUACCUAGAUAAGAGGCACCGGCUAACUACGUG